ensembl:lncRNA
GUAAAUCCAUGCAUACCUCAGGACUGGGCGGUUGAUAACAUGCUGAGACGAAGAUUGACGGGCGGAAACCCCAUUGGGACUCCAUUGUAAACAAAGGAAUUCCUGUAUGUGUAUAAAGUGAGGCUGCAGUCAAUGUUCGAGCAGUGACUCUGCAGACCCACUCAGGCUGUUGUCGUUGUUGUUUUUCUUCACGAUAAAGUAUUUUGUCAAUUCUUGCUCCGGACCCCUCGAUUUAUUUUACUCUCUCUCUCUCUCUUGAAUUAGUCUAAGUGUUUAUAUCUCGAUUAAUCUACUACAUAAAUUGGCGUCACGACCAGGAGGAAAUAGGGACUCUCCAGCUGCCGGGCCAGAGGACGGGACUCGAACGGAUCAUACGACCAGAGCUCAAGGGAGAAAGACAGAGUUCCAGAGUUGGAGGAGGAGCCACCAAGGGGGGUGGAGCCAGGUGACCACGUGUAUCUCAGAGUGUUCAGGAGAAAGUGGAACGAGCUCAGGAGAGAAGGACCAUACAAAGUCACCAACGCAACACCAACAGCCAUCCAAGUGGAAGGAAGUGCCACGUGGUAUCAUCUCAACCACUGCACAAAAGCUGCUCAACCCAAAGCCAGAGACAACCAUGAGGAGGAGGAGCCAGACGCAGACAUACGUGGGGCUGACCAGCUGCCCCAGGACCAGAUCCAGUCGAGCCAAGAGAUACAACAGCAUGAUGAUGCUGAAAACGGGGAGCCUGUUUCUGAUCCUUUACGGGUUGUGCCAGAUUUCGCUGGCACAAGCACAGACCCCGAGGAAGGAUGAAACCA